ensembl:snoRNA snoRNA:Me18S-A934
ACAAAAAUGAUGACUAGACAUUUACCUCUUGAGCCUAAUUUGCAUGCCGACAACGACUGUGAGAGCAAGCCCCCAAAACUUACCUGAGCCG